AUUGAACGCUGGCGGCAUGCUUUACACAUGCAAGUCGAACGGCAGCACAGGGAGCUUGCUCCUGGGUGGCGAGUGGCGAACGGGUGAGUAAUGUAUCGGAACGUGCCUGGUAGUGGGGGAUAACUACCCGAAAGAGUGGCUAAUACCGCAUGAGAUCUUUGGAUGAAAGCGGGGGACCUUCGGGCCUCGUGCUACUGGAGCGGCCGAUAUCAGAUUAGGUUGUUGGUGGGGUAAAGGCCUACCAAGCCUGCGAUCUGUAGCUGGUCUGAGAGGACGACCAGCCACACUGGGACUGAGACACGGCCCAGACUCCUACGGGAGGCAGCAGUGGGGAAUUUUGGACAAUGGGCGCAAGCCUGAUCCAGCAAUGCCGCGUGCAGGACGAAGGCCUUCGGGUUGUAAACUGCUUUUGUACAGAACGAAAAGUCUCUGGCUAAUAUCUAGAGAUCAUGACGGUACUGUAAGAAUAAGCACCGGCUAACUACGUG
rnacentral:rRNA from 1 species